GUCAUUUUGGGACAUUUUUUGGAUAAUUUUGGGAACAUUUGGGGGCAUAUGGGGAUAUUUGGGUCAUUUUGGGGUCAUUUCAGGCUCAUUUUGAUCAUUUGGGGUCAUUUUGGGUCACUUUUGGUUCAUUUUAGGCACAGUUUGGGGCAUUUUGGGUCAUUUUGGGACAUUUUUGGGAUAAUUUUGGGUCAUUUUGGGAAGAUUUUUGGGGACAAUUUGGGUCAUUUUGGGUCAUUUUGGGAGCUUUCGAUCAUUUUUGGGGUCAUUUUGGGUCAUUUUGGGGUCAUUUUAGGCACAGCUUGGGGCAUUUUGGGGUCAUUUUGGGGCAUUUUGGGGGCGAUUUUGGGUCAAUUUGGGUCAUUUUGGGGUCGUUUGUGGGCAUAUUUGGGCCAUUUUGGGACCAUUUGGGGUCAUUUUGGGUCAUUCUGGGACAGUUUUUGGAUAAUUUUGGGAACAUUUUGGGUCAUUUCAGGCUCAAUUUGGGUCAUUUUGGGUCUUUUGGGGAGAGUUUGGGGCAUAUUUGGGCCAUUUGGGUCAUUUUGGGUCAUUUUGGGACAUUUUUUGGAUAAUUUUGGGUCAUUUGGGUAAGAUUUUUGGGGACAAUUUGGGUCAUUUGGGGUCAUUUUGGGAUCUUUCGAUCAUUUUUGGGGUCAUUUUUGGGCAGAUUUGGGACAUUUUGGGGCCAUUUGGGGUCAUUUGGGGUCAUUUUGGGAUCUUUCCAUCAUUUUUGGGAUCAUUUUGAGUCAUUCUGGUCACAUUUUGGGCCGUUUUGUCUCAUUUUGACUCUUUAUUUUUUGAUAUUUUCAUUCAUUUCGUGGCCCCCAUUGACAGAACCAUUUUUUUUUCUACUCUUUUUCCACCACCGUUUUGGGUCCAAUUCUGACGAUUUCGGUUCAAAACCAAAACCCAUCACCACCACCACCAAAACCCAACAUCAUUUUGGGGCAAAUUCAGACCUUUUUGGGUUUUUUUGCCCCCCAUGGGACGGCUGUGCCGCUGCCGAAAACGUCGCAAAGGGAUCCGGAAGAUUCGGGUCCCCCCCCAGGUGGGUUUGGAGCCUCAAUUUUGGGUCAAAUUCCAGCGAUUUUGGGUCCUA
rnacentral:lncRNA from 1 species